rnacentral:rRNA from 1 species
AUGAGUUAAGUAUAAACCCCUUUACAAGUAACAAUUGGAGGGCAAGUCUGGUGCCAGCAGCCGCGGUAAUUCCAGCUCCAAUAGCGUAUAUUAAAGUUGUUGCAGUUAAAAAGCUCGUAGUUGGAUUUCUGUUAAUAAUUUAUAUUAUAAUGCAUUUAUUGUAUAUGAUAUGAUAUUAACACAAUUCAUAUUACUAUUUAUUUAGUAUAUGAAAUUUUACUUUGAGAAAAUUAGAGUGCUUAAAGCAGGCAAUAGCCUUGAAUACUAGAGCAUGGAAUAAUAAUAAAAGAUUUUUAUCUUUUUUUUAUUGGUUCUAAGAUAAAAAUAAUGAUUAAUAGGGACAGUUGGGGGCAUUUGUAUUUAACAGUUAGAGGUGAAAUUCUUAGAUUUGUUAAAGACAAACUAAUGCGAAAGCAUUUGCCAAGGAUGUUUUCAUUAAUCAAGAACGAAAGUUAGGGGAUCGAAGACGAUCAGAUACCGUCGUAGU